rnacentral:rRNA from 1 species
CGCGUACACACAGGUGCUGCACGGCUGUCGUCAGCUCGUGCCGUGAGGUGUUGGGUUAAGUCCCGCAACGAGCGCAACCCCGCCGUUAGUUGCCAGCGGUUCGGCCGGGCACUCUAACGGGACUGCCCGCGAAAGCGGGAGGAAGGAGGGGACGACGUCUGGUCAGCAUGGCCCUUACGGCCUGGGCGACACACGUGCUACAAUGCCCACUACAAAGCGAUGCCACCCGGCAACGGGGAGCUAAUCGCAAAAAGGUGGGCCCAGUUCGGAUUGGGGUCUGCAACCCGACCCCAUGAAGCCGGAAUCGCUAGUAAUCGCGGAUCAGCCAUGCCGCGGUGAAUACGUUCCCGGGCCUU